rnacentral:rRNA from 1 species
CCUACGGGUGGCAGCAGUGGGGAAUAUUGCACAAUGGGGGAAACCCUGAUGCAGCGACGCCGCGUGAGUGAAGAAGUAAUUCGUUAUGUAAAGCUCUAUCAGCAGGGAAGAAAAUGACGGUACCUGAGUAAGAAGCCCCGGCUAACUACGUGCCAGCAGCCGCGGUAAUACGUAGGGGGCAAGCGUUAUCCGGAUUUACUGGGUGUAAAGGGAGCGUAGACGGCAGUGCAAGUCCGGAGUGAAAGCACGGGGGGGAACCCUGGGACUGCUCUGGAAACUGUAAAGCUGGAGUGCGGGAGGGGCAGGCGGAAGUCCUGGUGUAGCGGUGAAAUGCGUAGAUAUCAGGAGGAACACCGGCGGCGAAGGCGGCUUACUGGACUGUAACUGACGUUGAGGCUCGAAAGCGUGGGGAGCAAACAGGAUUAGAUACCCCAGUAGUC